AACGCUGGCGGCGUGCCUAACACAUGCAAGUCGAACGAGAAAGUGGAGCUAUCCAUGAGUAAAGUGGCGACCGGGUGAGUAACACGUGACUAACCUACCUUCGAGUGGGGGAUAACAUCGGGAAACCGAUGCUAAUACCGCAUAACAUCUCAAGAUCAAAGCAGCAAUGCGCUGGAAGAGGGGGUCGCGGCUGAUUAGCUAGUUGGCGGGGUAAUGGCCCACCAAGGCGAAGGUCGGUAUCCGGCCUGAUAGGGCGCACGGACACACUGGAACUGAAACACGGUCCAGACUCCUACGGGUGGCAGCAGUGGGGAAUUUUGCGCAAUGGGGGAAACCCUGACGCAGCAACUCCGCGUGGAGGAUGAAGUCCCUUGGGACGUAAACUCCUUUCGACCAAGAUGAUUAUGACGGUACUGGUGGAAGAAGCACCGGCUAACUCUGUGCCAGCAUCCGCGGUAAUU
rnacentral:rRNA from 1 species